CAAAUUUUCAGCCUCCUAUUAGGGGAUCCGUUUGUUGCUCCACUGAGCAUAACAUACCUUAAUGCACCCGUGCAUCACUUUUGAUGAGUGAGAACGAAACCGAAAUUUGCAUCUUCCAAUACAGUCUUGCAAAGAUUUAUCCCGAGGUGAAACAUAAUAAGAAGAUGGAUAGCAAUAAGGUCUUUCGAGAAUUAUUUCAUGAAAUUCAGCAAGAACGAAAAUAAUUACUCCAAUCAACAAUAUUGCUGCUGCUCGUGCCAUGUACUCUUCAUAAACAUGCAUUUCUUCUUUUUCUUGCGAUCGCAUAU
rnacentral:lncRNA from 1 species